rnacentral:lncRNA from 1 species
UCAAAAUCAUGCAUAUCUAGUUACACUAAGUUUCCUACUAAUUCUCUUUCUCCUAUCCAAAUCAUGCAAUUUUUUUAAAAUAAUAUCAACAACUACUGUCUUCUUAAAAGAAGUUGCAACAUGCAAUAGCUCAUCUAGUUUUUCAGGCAUGCAAUUCAAGAAUGCAAAGAACUUGGAGGAUAUAAAAGAAUGCGUAGAACCAGAAUCAAACAAUACAGAAGUAUCUACUGAGUUGAUGGAAAUACUGAGUUGAUGGAAAUUAUACCUGCCACUACUCUAUCACCGGCACUGGCAUCCUGUUGUCAGUGCGAAAACCCAUGCACUUCCUUUUUAUCUUUGAUCAGCAGGUUUUGCAGGUCUAGAGUCAAUCUUCUUUUUGUUUGGGCAGUCUCGUGCCAAAUGUCCUAACUGACCACAGGCGAAACAAGCUCCCAACUUAUUAAGACAAGGUCCAACAUGAAACUUGCCACAUUAGUCACAAGCUUCAAUUUUCUUCUUCUUGCUCGGAUUGCCUCCAGAGUUCUUCGAUCGGCCAUUAUGAUUUCCUACCGUUUGGGGCCACUUCUUGUCACUCCUUUCCUUCUCUGAUCUCUUCAAUUCUGCUUCGACUUUCAGAGCACUUUUCAACACAUCUUCAUAACUACUGAAAAGGUGAGACGAUAAAAGAGAUCGAAUCCUAUAUCUUAGACCCUGUUCAAAUCUGUUUGCUUUGCUUCUUUCAAACUCCAUGAGAUGGGGGCAGAAUCGGCCUAACUCAUUAAAUUUAUUUGCAUACUC